rnacentral:rRNA from 1 species
GAUGAACGCUGGCGGCGUGCCUAAUACAUGCAAGUCGAGCGAACAGACGAGGAGCUUGCUCCUCUGACGUUAGCGGCGGACGGGUGAGUAACACGUGGAUAACCUACCUAUAAGACUGGGAUAACUUCGGGAAACCGGAGCUAAUACCGGAUAAUAUAUUGAAUUGCAUGGUUCAUUAGUGAAAGACGGUUUUGCUGUCACUUAUAGAUGGACCCGCGCCGCAUUAGCUAGUUGGUAAGGUAACGGCUUACCAAGGCAACGAUGCGUAGCCGACCUGAGAGGGUGAUCGGCCACACUGGAACUUAGACACGGUCCAGACUCCUACGGGAGGCAGCAGUAGGGAAUCUUCCGCAAUGGGCGAAAGCUUGACGGAGCAACGCCGCGUGAGUGAUGAAGGUCUGCGGAUCGUAAAACUCUGUUAUUAGGGAAGAACGAAUGUGUAAGUAACUAUGCACGUCUUGACGGUAGCUAAUCAGAAAGCCACGGCUAACUACGUG